AGCACUAGGUGGGUUUGCUCCCUCCCUAGAUCUUCCAUCCAGGAUAGUCCUGGAAAUGAUCUUGAUGCUAUCUGUUCCUCGUUACAGCAGACCUGCUCAACUUCAGCAGCUAGAAGGAGGAUUGUCUUUCACCAGCUGCAGGAGCCUGUUCCCACUACAAGCCUGGUGGAGUCUUCGGAGCAGAUGUGACUGUCCUACUUGUAUAGAGAAGAGAAACUGAGGCUCAGAAGAGAUGCCUGGCUGAGUUUAAUAGGACUGCAACAACAAUUUUGCCUUUCUACUUUCUGGUACAGUGGUCUUUCCUUUGCCAUCAUGCCUCAGCAUAUCCAUGUUAGUAAAUUCUCCCAGUUGGGGAAAAGCUUGGCAGCAAUGAAAGUUAAUGUGAUGAAUCAUUUAGAUGGACAGAUUGGAAAAAUGUUGUUCCUUUUGCAUGUGAUGUUCUUGCCAGAAAUCAAGUAGGUGGAGUUUUUGAAGCGUGAUCAGUUAGAUAAGUAUGGUGGUUUUAAAUAAUCAAGCAUGGAGCCAUACCGGUUAUGUUUAAUUUAUAACAAAAUCAGACAAUUCAGGCAUGAUGUUGAACUCAUUGAGCUUGGCUCACUACUACAUUUCUCUCACCAAAAGCAAUGACUAUAAAGAGUUACAAAUACCAUGACCUUAUAUCAUAAAGCAUAAAUUAUUCCAGGAAGUUUUCCAUUUAAGUCAACUUCUCAAAAUCUUAGGAGAAAACUACCAAUAUUCAGUUCAAACCCCAGAGGCUUAAGGAAAAAUAUUAAUGUUGAAAUAGCAAGUAAGUGGUAGUAUCCUCGCUGUAUGCACAAUUGCAUCUGCUCGGGGGUUAGUCUUUCUUUAGCUCCUGUCUACAACUCACACCAGUCUCCAUAAAAGAAAUGAGGUCUCACUGAUACCAUCUAGCUUAAUGAGAUAAAAAUCCUGGUGAUCUCUGCAAGAAAAUAAAACUAAGAUAAACUAGUAUCUGCUACUGAUAAAUAUUUAACAGAUGUGGUCCAAAUCCCUCUGCCAGCUGGAGGAAGGAAAAAAGUUCUAUUUUACUGCUUGGAUAUAAUUAUUGGCCACAUUUCUCCAAGCAAAGACAGUGACAUUGGCUCACUCCCCAGGAGAACUUUCUUCUGAUCUUGGCACUAGGAUUUGCUUUUCUUUAACAGAUUGCAGCAAUAUACCCUUCAUUUGACCCAGUUUAUUCAUUCAAAAGAUACCUGGAGCCAAAACCAUGUAUGAGAAAUAGCAAAGGAAGAGGCAGGCACAAGCUGUGUUUAUAUACCCACCAAAGGACUACAGCAAAACACAUAUAUUCUAGUCAGCUCUGAGUGCACCUGUCUGUGUCAACAGUAGACCAGCGUGGUCUGGCAGAUGACCAUAUGACCCAGCUGAUUCACUCCGGAGUUAGAGGAACUUUUCCCAGACCCUGAAAGUCACCUUUUUAGACAACUUCGCAAACAGCCAUCCUUGUUCACGGUAUCAUGCCCCUUGUCACUGCUAAACAGACCGUUUGCAAAGAAAUUUCCUAAACAUCACCACUGAGGCUCCUUCCAGCAAUGACUCUGGUCCAUCAUUGGGAUUGCUGAGCAGCUGUUUCAUAACAUGAACAAGGAUGUUUUAACCAUGUUUCUUGACCUGGCCAUUUGGAUCCCAAGGAUGUUUUGGUCCAAGAAUAAAUUCCAGAGCUUAGCUCACCGAAGAAGACAGGAAAACUUGUCAGAUGGGGAAGGAUGUGUCAAGAGCAUGCACACAGAUUUACUCUUCAGCUAGAAGCUCCAAUUCCUAGAUGAUCUGAAUCCAACUCAGAGUGCUUGCACCUGUUUCCUGCCACACAGCUAGAGCUGUAUGAUGACCGGAGACACAGCUGUUGGAGGAAAAAAGUUUAUGUCAAUUAAAAUCCUGAAUUUCUCUGAUCUGGAAAGAAAAACUGCUAUGAACUCUUUAGCAUUGUGCUUUACAUAUGACAGACACACUCCACAAUAUCUGAGAAAUAGAAUAACUGGGGAUGAAUGAAUGAGAAAAUUAAUGAAGAAAUGAAGGAAGUUACCUGGUCAAACUGCUAAGAAGUAACAAGGCAAAGGAAAGAACUAUGUUUCCUUUCUUCAACUCAGCCCUUAUUCCUACAUCCCGUGUCUGUGGUUCAUGUUACAAACCACACCAAUAAGAACUUUGUCAUACUAUUUGUCACUGUGAUCCGUUCCAUGGAAGAAAAUGGUUCAUUUUGCUCAUUAAUAUUAAUUAAGAUACAUAUUAAGUAACAUAGUUGAGCUUCGUUACGGUAGAUACUAUGGCUUUUUCUCCUUUUGUUCUGUUAUUAUCUGACACUUACUAUGUCC
ensembl:lncRNA novel transcript